UACGUAGGUGGCAAGCGUUGUCCGGAAUUAUUGGGCGCAAAGCGCGCGCAGGCGGUUCCUUAAGUCUGAUGUGAAAGCCCACGGCUCAACCGUGGAGGGUCAUUGGAAACUGGGGAACUUGAGUGCAGAAGAGGAGAGUGGAAUUCCACGUGUAGCGGUGAAAUGCGUAGAGAUGUGGAGGAACACCAGUGGCGAAGGCGACUCUCUGGUCUGUAACUGACGCUGAGGCGCGAAAGCGUGGGGAGCAAACAGG
rnacentral:rRNA from 1 species